rnacentral:rRNA from 1 species
GACGAACCGUGCGAACGUUGCUCGGAAUCACUGGGCUUAAAGGGCGCGUAGGCGGGCUCGCAAGUCCGGGGUGAAAGCCCCCAGCUCAACUGGGGAAGCGCCUUGGAUACUGCGGGCCUCGAGGGAGGUAGGGGCGCGCGGAACUUCCGGUGGAGCGGUGAAAUGCGUAGAUAUCGGAAGGAACACCGGUGGCGAAAGCGGCGCGCUGGACCUCUUCUGACGCUGAGGCGCGAAAGCCAGGGGAGCAAACGGG